CAGAAUUGUCAGAUUUAGCAGAGCAGUCACAUUAGAUAUAUUUUCCGAUUAAUUGAAACCCCUGGAGGAAGGUUAAAAUGAUACUUUCUAUAAAAAAAUUCGUGAAAUUUUCUUCUUAAGUUAUCUGUUCUGGAAAUUUAAGCUAAACUGCAUUAUAAAAUCCUUAUUGAAAUCGAAAUGUCGAUUUUCAAUCUAAAUUCUGGACAUUUUGUCUAAAAAAAUUUAAAACUCUUUGAUUAAGCGAAUCUCAUAGAUUUCUGUGAAAGUAAGUUUUUUUUGCAUUCAAAGUUUGCAAUGAAAAUUUUGUCGAAAAUCCAGUAUAAUGAGGCAAAUCUACG